rnacentral:rRNA from 1 species
UACGUAGGGUGCAAGCGUUAAUCGGAAUUACUGGGCGUAAAGCGUGCGCAGGCGGUUAUGUAAGCCAGAUGUGAAAGCCCCGGGCUUAACCUGGGAAUGGCAUUUGGGACUGCAAGGCUUGAGUGCGGCAGAGGAGACUGGAAUUCCUGGUGUAGCAGUGAAAAUGCGUAGAUAUCAGGAGGAAUACCGAUGGCGAAGGCAGGUCUCUGGGCUG